rnacentral:misc_RNA from 1 species
UACGGAGGGUGCUAGCGUUGUUCGGAAUUACUGGGCGUAAAGCGCGUGUAGGCGGAAGGAGAAGUCGGGUGUGAAAGCCCUGGGCUCAACCCAGGAAGUGCGCUCGAAACCAUCUUUCUUGAGGUUCGGAGGGGAUCGGGGAAUUUCCAGUGUAGAGGUGAAAUUCGUAGAUAUUGGAAAGAACACCGGUGGCGAAAGCGCCGAUCUGGACGAACUCUGACGCUGAGACGCGAAAGCGUGGGUAGCAAACAGG